rnacentral:rRNA from 1 species
CAGCCGCCGCGGGAAUACGUAGGGUGCAAGCGUUAAUCAGAAUUACUGGGCGUAAAGCGUGCGCAGGCGGUUAUAUAAGACAGAUGUGAAAUCCCCGGGCUCAACCUGGGAACUGCAUUUGUGACUGUAUAGCUAGAGUACGGCAGAGGGGGAUGGAAUUCCGCGUGUAGCAGUGAAAUGCGUAGAUAUGCGGAGGAACACCGAUGGCGAAGGCAAUCCCCUGGGCCUGUACUGACGCUCAUGCACGAAAGCGUGGGGAGCAAACAGGAUUAGAUACCCCAGUAGUCCCUGUCUCUUAUAC